YAAACGACUYUYGGCAACGGAUAUCUCGGCUCUUGCAUCGAUGAAGAACGUAGCGAAAUGSSAUACUUGGUGUGAAUUGCAGAAUCCCGUGAACCAUCGAGUCUUUGAACGCAAGUUGCGCCCGAGGCCAUUAGGUCGAGGGCACGUCUGCCUGGGCGUCACAC
rnacentral:rRNA from 1 species